GCCCAAUGUGCUGUAUCAUAGGCCUUGAAAAAUUAUCUACUUUCAAAAAUACAAUCAAUUGGGCAAUAUAUAGUCAACCUAUGAUUUGACUUUUUGAUAUUGCAAAAAGCUAUUAGCUCCUAAAUUAGGUCUAGCCGUUUCUAUAACGGCCACAGUUGUCCGUCUAGUGAUUCUUCUAAACUAUACACAUAUGAUGGCUAUGGAAUUAUCGAUUUGAUCAGUUGGCAUCAUGUUGCUGAUCAAUCAUGCCUCACAAUGAGCA
rnacentral:lncRNA from 1 species